rnacentral:rRNA from 1 species
CCUACGGGAGGCAGCAGUGGGGAAUAUUGCACAAUGGGGGAAACCCUGAUGCAGCGACGCCGCGUGAGCGAUGAAGUAUUUCGGUAUGUAAAGCUCUAACAGCAGGGAAGAAGAUGACGGUACCUGACUAAGAAGCCCCGGCUAACUACGAGCCAGCAGCCGCGGUAAUACGUAGGGGGCAAGCGUUAUCCGGAUGUACUGAGUGUAAAGGGAGCGUAGACGGCGAUGCAAGACAGAUGUGAACGCCCGGCGCUCAACCCCGGGACUGCAUUUGGAACUGUGUGGCUGGAGUGUCGGAGAGGCAGGCGGAAUUCCUAGUGUAGCGGUGAAAUGCGUAGAUAUUAGGAGGAACACCAGUGGCGAAGGCGGCCUGCUGGACGAUGACUGACGUUGAGGCUCGAAAGCGUGGGGAGCAAACAGGAUUAGAUACCCGUGUAGUC